GCCUUUUUGACUUUAUACCAUAAAGUACACUUUCCUCAUAAGCACUAAAAACUAUUUGAAGCAUAAUUUUAUGGCUUCCUAAUACAUUUUGUACUUCUUAAUUUACAAUUUACCUAUUGUCAAACAAUAGUAUUAUUCAAAGUUUUGGGUUUUUUUUUUUUUUUUUUAAGUAUUAUAAGGCCCAGUGUGGUGGCUCACGCCUGUAAUCCCAGCACUUUGGGAGGCCAAGGCGGGUGGAUCACGAGGUCAAGAGAUCGAGACCAUCCUGGUCAACAUGGUGAAACCCCAUCUCUACUAAAAAAAAAAUACAAAAAAUUAGCUGGGCAUGGUGGUGCGUGCCUGUAAUCCCAGCUACUCAGGAGGCUGAGGCAGGAGAAUUGCCUGAACCCAGGAGGCAGAGGUUGCGGUGAGUCGAGAUCGCGCCAUUGCACUCCAGCCUGGGUAACAAGAGCGAAACUCCGUCUCAAAAACAACAACAACAACAAAAGUAUUAUAACCAAAGCUAUAUGAAGCACUUGUAUGUAAAUCUUUGCAUUUAUUAUUUCUUAACGUUGAUUUACAGGAGUGUUAUUAAAGGAUGAAAUUGUGCAGUGAAUAUCUGUUGAGUUUUCCUGACUCUCCUCCAUUUCCCCUUACUUUGGAGAAUCACACUGUAUCCCAAGGAGCUUGGAUAAAGCUGACUCCAUCCCUGGCUUCAAGGGAAAUUUCUUCAAUUCACCCUUGAGGAGUAGAGAUCUGAUAAGAAAAGGAAAUGAGAAAACUAAAGAAAUUCAACAACUAUGAAACAAAACAGAGACCUUCCAUAGGAGACCCCUUCCGCCUUUUUGGCUGCUUAUCAAAGCGACUUGUUCAAGGCCACAUUGCAAUUUAACAAGGCAGCCAGGAUUAGUUUGAGGAAACCUAGUUUCCCGGAUUGUCAUGUGAAAAAUUUCCUCAAUACCAGAGAAAUUUUGGUGUGCUUCAAAAUCACCUGCAGAGCUUUAUAAAAAAUACAGAUACCUGACUGCGCCCAUCCCUCAAUCCACCUUCAGUGUAUCUCUGGUAGAUUCCAGUCAUUGGCAUUUAAAAUAAAUUUACCAACUAAAUAAUCAUAUUCUGCCAAUUUUUGGACCACUAUUCCAGAGUAAAUGGCCUAUUAAAGUGUGAGAAGAGGCUGGGCACAGUGGCCGGUAAUCUUGGCACUUUGGGAGGCCGAGGUGGGCAGAUCAGGAGGUCAGGAGUUCGAGACCAGCCUGGCCAACAUGGUGAAACACUGUCUCUACUAAAAAUACAAAAAUUAGCUGGGCGUGUUGGUGCAUGACUUUAAUUCUAGCUACUUAGGAGGCUGAGGCAGGAGAAUUGCUUGAACCAGGGAGGCAGAGGUUGGAGUGAGCUGAGACUUCACCACUGCACUCUAGCCUGGGUGACAGAGACUCCGUCUCAGAAAAAAAAAAAAAUGUGAGAGGGAUUCCAAUGACACAAUGCAAGUAAAGGACUGUAAAAAAAAUGUUUAGACCAAGAUUUUAAUGGUAACAAUGUGUUUUAUUGUGCAGCAGGG
rnacentral:lncRNA from 1 species